rnacentral:rRNA from 1 species
GAGUUUGAUCGUGGCUCAGGAUGAACGCUAGCGGCGUGCCUUAUGCAUGCAAGUCGAACGGUCUUAAGCAAUUAAGAUAGUGGCAAACGGGUGAGUAACGCGUAAGUAACCUACCUCUAAGUGGGGGAUAGCUUCGGGAAACUGAAGGUAAUACCGCAUGUGAUGGGCUGACAUAAGUCGGUUCAUUAAAGCCGCAAGGUGCUUGGUGAGGGGCUUGCGUCCGAUAGCUAGUUGGUGGGUAAUGGCCUACCAAGGCUUCGAUCGGUAGCUGGUCUGAGAGGAUGAUCAGCCACACUGGGACUGAGACACGGCCCAGACUCCUACGGGAGGCAGCAGCAAGGAAUCUUGGGCAAUGGGCGAAAGCCUGACCCAGCAACGCCGCGUGAGGGAUGAAGGCUUCGGGUGUAAACCUCUUUUCACAGGGAAGAAUAAUGACGGUACCUGUGGAAUAAGCUUCGGCUAACUACGUGCCAGCCGCCGCUGUAAG